UGCAGCCCUGAUAGCGUCGGCUCCGAGUCGGUCAGAGGAACCCGGUGGGAUUCCGGGACUGGCGCGCAACGGUGUGGGGCGGGCGAUCCGCUUCGAGUCCGAUACUCGCCGACUCGAUCGUGUCCAU
rnacentral:ncRNA from 1 species